rnacentral:rRNA from 1 species
UACAUGGGGUGCAAACGUUGCUCGGAAUCACUGGGCAUAAAGCGCACGUAGGCGGCGACGUAAGUUGGGUGUGAAAUCCCUCGGCCCAACCGAGGAACUGCGCCCAGUACUGCGUUGCUUGAGGAUCCAAGGGGUGCAUGGAAUUCCCGGUGGAGCGGUGAAAUGCGUUGAUAUCGGGAGGAACUCCGGCGGCGAAAGCGGUGCACUGGUGGAUUACUGACGCUGAGGUGCGAAAGCCAGGGGAGCAAACGGG